GAUGAACGCUAGCGGCAGGCCUAAUACAUGCAAGUCGAACGGUGUCUUCGGACAUAGUGGCGCACGGGUGCGUAACACGUAUGCAACCUACCUUACAUUGGGGGAUAGCCUUUCGAAAGGGAGAUUAAUACCGCAUAAGACAGUAGCUGGGCAUCCAGCAGCUGUUAAAGAUUUAUCGAUGUAAGCUGGGCAUGCGUCCAAUUAGCUAGUUGGUGAGGUAACGGCUCACCAAGGCAAUGAUUGGUAGGGGAACUGAGAGGUCAAUCCCCCACACUGGCACUGAGAUACGGGCCAGACUCCUACGGGAGGCAGCAGUAGGGAAUAUUGGACAAUGGGGGCAACCCUGAUCCAGCCAUUCCGCGUGAGUGAAGAAGGCCUUCGGGUUGUAAAGCUCUUUCGGCAGGAACGAAACGGUGAGCUCUAACAUAGCUUGCUAAUGACGGUACCUGAAGAAGAAGCACCGGCUAACUACGUGCCAGCCGCCGCGGUAAAAC
rnacentral:rRNA from 1 species